CAAAAACAUCGCCUCCUGCUAAAUCUUCGAAGUAUAGGAGGUCCUGCCUGCCCAGUGACUUCUUGUUAAAUGGCCGCGGUAUUUUGACCGUGCUAAGGUAGCGCAAUCACUUGUCUUUUAAAUGAAGACCCGUAUGAAUGGUAAAACGAGGGCUUAACUGUCUCCCUUCUUUGGUCAAUGAAAUUGAUCUGCCCGUGCAGAAGCGGACAUAUUAAUACAAGACGAGAAGACCCUUUGGAGCUUAAGACAAAAAGCCAACUGUAUAAAAAUUCAUAUAAAAUGAAGUUUAACAAAACAGCCAUUUGGCCCACGUCUUCGGUUGGGGCGACCACGGAGUAAAACAAAACCUCCAUACAGAAUGGGAUUUCCUCUCAAACCAAGAGAUACAUCUCUAAGUCGCAGAACAUCUGACUAUAAGAUCCGGCUUAUAAAGCCGAUCAACGGACCAAGUUACCCUAGGGAUAACAGCGCAAUCCCCUUCAAGAGUCCCUAUCGACAAGGGGGUUUACGACCUCGAUGUUGGAUCAGGACAUCCUAAUGGUGCAGCCGCUAUUAAGGGUUCGUUUGUUCAACGAUUAAAGUCCUACGUGAUCUGA
rnacentral:rRNA from 1 species